rnacentral:rRNA from 1 species
UACAGAGGGUGCAAGCGUUGUUCGGAAUCAUUGGGCGUAAAGCGCACGUAGGCGGCUUUGCAAGUCAGGUGUGAAAGCCUGGGGCUCAACCCCAGAAGUGCACUUGAAACUGCAGAGCUUGAGUCUUGGAGAGGGCAGUGGAAUUCCGAGUGUAGAGGUGAAAUUCGUAGAUAUUCGGAGGAACACCAGUGGCGAAGGCGACUGCCUGGACAAAGACUGACGCUGAGGUGCGAAAGCGUGGGGAGCAAACAGG